GAUGAACGCUGGCGGCGUGCCUAAUACAUGCAAGUCGAACGCUGGAGAUCUAGCUUGCUAGAUCGAAGGAGUGGCGAACGGGUGAGUAAUACAUAAGCAACCUACCCACGAAGACUGGGAUAAUCUCUGGAAACGGGGACUAAUACCGGAUAGGUAAUCGGAAGGCAUCUUCUGGUUAUUAAAGGUUAAAAACACUGGUGGAUGGGCUUAUGGCGCAUUAGUUAGUUGGUGAGGUAACGGCCCACCAAGACGAUGAUGCGUAGCCGGCCUGAGAGGGUGAACGGCCACAUUGGGACUGAGACACGGCCCAGACGCCUACGGGAGGCAGCAGUAGGGAAUUUUCGGCAAUGGGGGCAACCCUGACCGAGCAACGCCGCGUGAGUGAAGACGGCCUUCGGGUUGUAAAGCUCUGUUGUAAGGGAAGAACGGUAGAUAGAGAAGAUCUAAGUGACGGUACCUUAACAGAAAGCCACGGCUAACUACGUG
rnacentral:rRNA from 1 species